rnacentral:lncRNA from 1 species
GUGGGAGGAAAGAUUUGCAGUUGAUAGCAGAUAGAGUAAAAAGUUAACUAACAAAUUAGACACUAGAACACCAGGCUUGUUUGAUGGAGAGACAGCUGUCUCAAAACUAAUUUGGGCUUUUCUCAGGAAAAUGGUGCUUGAUUACAUGAGGAGGUAUAGUAAACACAGUGGUAAGAUCACCUAGUUGAGGCACUUCACAAAGAGAUGACUGGAAGCACAGAAAACUCUAUCUAUGACCUUUCAUUGCAUAGCAAGAUUACAUGUGAGCUAUCAACUUCAGCAUGUCAAAAAUCAGGCUCUUUGCACAUAGGCAAAUUCCCACAUAAGAAGAGCACAAAAUAAAAAGUAUGAAUUCUGAGCAAGGCACUUAAAAUAUGUUAUUUCUGCUAAAAUCUACAGGGAAAAAAGGGGGGGAGGGGAUGAGGAGGAUGUGUCUUUUUCUCAGUUAUAUCUCUUAAAAUUAACACCAGUAGUGAUAUCCCUACAAUAGAAACAUGGAUAAUUCGUUUCAAGCUGUUGAUGUUAUAGCAAAGGUAUGCAUUAUUUUGCUGCAAAUGGCUGUGGACUUCCUCUAUUCACAUGAAGAAAAGAAAGUGCUACAACGCAACCCUUUCUAACUCUUUGCCAGACCAUCCACAUUACUCAGACUAGCUGGUAAAAAUGUGAGCUACUGACCUGCAAGGACAACAAAACUUUAUGAGAAGGACAGGACAUUUUCAGAGUGUUUCCUCUUUUUGCUAUUUUAAGGAGGAAGCUGACAAGACUCCUAUUCAAUAUGUUCAGUAAGGAGUACAUGAAAAACACAAAGGCAAAUGAAAAAAGAUAAGUAUGGGGAAAAGAGUAACACAAGACUGAAAAACAUGAGUGCAAAAGAAUGGAUAACAGCAUUCUUUUUUUUUUUUUUUUUUUUUCCCCCUCUAAAUACCUCCUUGGUCUCUCAAAUCUUGCCUUCACUCAUUAUCUGUGCUCUCCCACUCUCCUGCUUCUCCAAAAGGCCCUCAGAGUCUACUGUAAGUAUAAAGAAGACCUUUUGCACUGAGCCAUCAAAGUCUUUUCUGCCUUUGUUUUCCAAAUCCAUUCCAGGACCUCCAGCCCCCUGGAUGUGAUGAUUCCUACUAAAAUAAACACCAGCACUCUCUGAAUCUCCCUUCUUAU